CCAGGUGGAGAAGUCCUUGCAGGCAGGAAGCACAGCACACAUAAAGGCAUGGAAACACAGCCCAUUGCAGGGGUGUGAGUCGCUCCCAAGGCUGGAGAACAAGAGUGAAAGUAUCCCCUUGUUUCUUUCAACAGUGUGUCUUAGGGUAUGGCUAGAGAGAGGGGAACUAGAGAAGGAAAUAACGUGUUUGAAGAAUUAACUUUAGAAGAGUGUAGAAGUCAGGAAUAGCUGGGUUCAAAAACAA
rnacentral:lncRNA from 1 species